rnacentral:rRNA from 1 species
GAUGAACGCUGGCGGCGUGCCUAAUACAUGCAAGUCGAGCGAACAGACGAGGAGCUUGCUCCUCUGACGUUAGCGGCGGACGGGUGAGUAACACGUGGAUAACCUACCUAUAAGACUGGGAUAACUUCGGGAAACCGGAGCUAAUACCGGAUAAUAUAUUGAACCGCAUGGUUCAAUAGUGAAAGACGGUUUUGCUGUCACUUAUCGAUGGAUCCGCGCCGCAUUGGCUAGUUGGUAAGGUAACGGCUUACCAAGGCGACGAGUCGUAGCCGACCUGAGAGGGUGAUCGGCUACACUGGAACUGAGACACGGUCCAGACUCCUACGGGAUGCAGCAGUAGGGAAUGUUCCGCAAUGGGCGAAAGCCUGACGGAGCAACGCCGCGUGAGUGAUGAAGGUCUUCGGAUCGUAAAACUCUGUUAUUAGGGAAGAACAAAUGUGUAAGUAACUAUGCACGUCUUGACGGUACCUAAUCAGAAAGCCACGGCUAACUACGUG